AUUGAACGCUGGCGGCAUGCUUUACACAUGCGAGUCGAACGGUAACAGGCCUUCGUUUGCUGUCGAGUGGCGGACGGGGGCGUAAUGCAAAGGAACGUACCCAGAGGUUGGGGGUAACGCAUCACAAGGUGUGCUAAUACCGCAUGUGAGCUGAGGUUGAGAGCGGGGUACCGAGCAGCAGUGUUUGGCCUCGCGCCUUUGUAACAGCCGAUGUCGGAUUAGCUAGUUGGUUGGGUAAAGGCCUACCAAGGCGACGAUCCGUAGCGGGUCUGAGAGGACGACCAGCCACACUGGGACUGAGACACGGCCCAGACUCCUACGGGAGGCAGCAGUGGGGAAUCUUCGACAAUGGGCGAAAGCCUGAUGCAGCAAUGCCGCGUGAGGGAAGAAGGCCUUCGGGUCGUAAAACGCUUUUGGCAGGAAAGAAACGGUGUCCGCUAAUCCCGGGAGCUAAUGACGGUGCCUGAAGAAUAAGCACCGGCUAACUACGUG
rnacentral:rRNA from 1 species